UACGUAGGGUGCAAGCGUUGUCCGGAAUUAUUGGGCGUAAAGAGCUCGUAGGCGGUUUGUUGCGUCGGCUGUGAAAUCCCGAGGCUCAACCUCGGGUCUGCAGUCGAUACGAGCAAACUAGAGGGUUUGAGGGGGGACUGGAAUACUUGGUGUAGCAGUGAAAUGCGUAGAUAUCAAGUGGAACACCAGUGGCGAAGGCGAGUCCCUGGAAAAUACCUGACACUGAGGCACGAAAGCUAGGGGAGCAAACAGG
rnacentral:rRNA from 1 species